rnacentral:rRNA from 1 species
UACGGGGGGGGCAAGCGUUGUUCGGCAUUACUGGGCGUAAAGGGCUCGUCGGCGGCCAACUAAGUCGGACGUGAAAUCCCCAGGCUCAACCUGGGAACUGCGUCCGAUACUGGAUGGCUUGAAUCCGGGAGAGGGAUGCAGAAUUCCAGGUGUAGCGGUGAAAUGCGUAGAUAUCUGGAGGAAUACCGGUGGCGAAGGCGGCAUCCUGGACCGGCAUUGACGCUGAGGAGCGAAAGCCAGGGGAGCAAACGGG